rnacentral:RNase_P_RNA from 2 species
AUUUUUGGAUAAUCGCGUGGUGAUUUGUCACCAUGAGGAAAGUCCAUGCUAGCACCGGCUGUGAUGCUGGUAGUGUUUGUGCUAGGCGAAUGCAUAAGCCUAGGGACAUAGAAAUAUGUUACGGCGAGUGAACUGGCUAAGUCUUCGGAUAGGUCACAAUAGCUCUGAAAGUGCCACAGUGACGGAGUUCUCAUGGAAACGUGAGAAGUGGAACGCGGUAAACCCCUCAAGCUAGCAACCCAAAUUUCGGUCGGGGCAUGGGAAAGCUGGAAACGAACGGUCUUUCCUGACUGCAAAGCAGUAGACAGAUGAUUAUCGAAGGUGGUAGUACCUAGUACCACCGGAACAAAACAUGGCUUAUAGAA